AGUGAACGCUGGCGGUAGGCCUAACGCAUGCAAGUCGAACGGCAGCACAGUAAGAGCUUGCUCUUACGGGUGGCGAGUGGCGGACGGGUGAGGAAUACAUCGGAAUCUACUUUUUCGUGGGGGAUAACGUAGGGAAACUUACGCUAAUACCGCAUACGACCUACGUGGGAAAGCAGUGGAUCUUCGGACCUUGCGCGAGUGAAUGAGCCGAUGUCGGAUUAGCUAGUUGGCGGGGUAAAGGCCCACCAAGGCGACGAUCCGUAGCUGGUCUGAGAGGAUGAUCAGCCACACUGGAACUGAGACACGGUCCAGACUCCUACGGGAGGCAGCAGUGGGGAAUAUUGGACAAUGGGCGCAAGCCUGAUCCAGCCAUACCGCGUGGGUGAAGAAGGCCUUCGGGUUGUAAAGCCCUUUUGUUGGGAAAGAAAAGCAGCAGGUUAAUACCCCGCUGUUCUGACGGUACCCAAAGAAUAAGCACCGGCUAACUUCGUG
rnacentral:rRNA from 1 species